rnacentral:rRNA from 1 species
AAACCUGUAGGGAGAACGAUAGGCAAAUCCGUCGUUCACUAAUCCUGAGAGGUGAUGCAUAGCCGAGUGAGGCGAAUUCGGUGAUCCUAUGCUGCCAAGAAAAGCCUCUAGUGAGUACACACACGGCCCGUACCCCAAACCGACACAGGUGGUCAGGUAGAGAAUACCGAGGCGUACGAGUGAACUAUGGUUAAGGAACUCGGCAAAAUGC